rnacentral:rRNA from 1 species
UACGUAGGGGGCGAGCGUUAUCCGGAUUUACUGGGUGUAAAGGGAGCGUAGACGGCAGCGCAAGUCUGGAGUGAAAUGCCGGGGCCCAACCCCGGAACUGCUUUGGAAACUGUGCAGCUCGAGUGCAGGAGAGGUAAGCGGAAUUCCUAGUGUAGCGGUGAAAUGCGUAGAUAUUAGGAGGAACACCAGUGGCGAAGGCGGCUUACUGGACUGUAACUGACGUUGAGGCUCGAAAGCGUGGGGAGCAAACAGG